ACAGAAAAUUCAAUGCCUUUUAUGACCUUGCAGAGGAAAUCGCAUACUUUCACACCUGCUGUAAUCUAUUGUCUAUAUCAUAAUCUGUGGAUAUAGUUUCCUAGAUGACAAAAGGAGACGGAAGUAUAAUCUUGAGAUGAGGAGCUCAUUCCAAAUUGUUCAGUUAUGUGAGCAAUGUUAUUAUGCUGUUCCAAAAUCAGGAGUGUGAAGCGCAGACAUAUGUGUAUUCAGAAGAAACAAGUGUUUUCUAUGACAGCUAAGCUACACACUGGGAUAGAAGGCCAAAUGGAUCCUGGGUUAGAAUGCUGCUGACUGCAAGUUUCUUAUGUCUCAACAUCAACAAAACAGUACAGCAAACCCUGAUUUGUACCAUUUGCUGUAUUUCCAUGGUGUAAAAAUUAACAGCAUGGCAGAUUUCUGGUCUCGAAAGUGACUUCAUAGAAUGUGGAGCUGGCAAGAGAUAGUGAUGCUCUGCAUUGCCCUACCAGGCUGCUGCUGCUGCGGUUUCCUGAACCUUGUACCUCCAGAAGGAUGAGCCAAAAUAAGCUCCUGACCUGAAGAGUUAGCCUGCCCAAGGUAAAAACUACUGUGAUCA